rnacentral:snRNA from 14 species
AUACUUACCUUGUGAGGGCGGCCGUGAUCAAGAAGACGGUUUGCCAAUGGGAGAACCCUGCAUUGCACAGCGCGGAGGUGAUCCCGUUUGAGUGUCCUUCGGGGCCCUCACUCGCGCAAUUUUUGAUGGUCUAAACUCUUUUACGAGUCGCUUUUCA